rnacentral:lncRNA from 1 species
CCAAGGCUUCAUAUCGAAGAUGUGAACCCCCGAGUCUCCUGGUAUGAAGUGUACAUACAUCUCAUCUCGCCAUUUAUACUGGAGGCUUCCUGGAAAUGGCUGCUACAGCCUGCACAUCUGUGCCAGUCUCUUAAGUACUCCCCAACUUGGGCACACAUAGGGUGCUGGGCUACAUCCCAUCUGCUGACCUGAGGCUAAGGCCUCACAUUGAAGACAUCAGCUCCUGAGACCCCUGGUAUGAAAUGCAUGUACAUCUCACCUGGAC